rnacentral:rRNA from 1 species
AUGUUCGCUGCCAUGGCCAUCCUCCUCUCCUCCAUCGCUAGCCGGCUGAGGCUCCGCCGCCGGAACAAGAGGAUCACGUCCUCUUCGGGCAACCCCCGCCCACCUUUCUUCUCCUGCGGCGGCGGCGGCGACACCCUCAGCCCUUUCGUGAAGCCCAAGACGACGAGGAAGCUCAAGGCGCCGUCGAGCACAAGAUUCGCGGAGCAUGGCCAGGACGGCGGCACGGUGGACGACGACGACGUCGGCGAGCCGUGCCUGUGGCGGCGAACGAUACUGCUCGGCCAGAGGUGCCAGCCGCUGGAGUUCAGCGGGGCCAUACACUACGACAACGAUGGGCGGCGGCUCUGGCACGCACGGACUCCGCUCCUGAGCCCCGGCCGUUCUUCGGAAUUCGGAUACAUUGAUAGGGCAUGA